rnacentral:rRNA from 1 species
UGGGGGAAUUUUGGACAAUGGGCGAAAGCCUGAUCCAGCAAUGCCGCGUGUGUGAAGAAGGCCUUCGGGUUGUAAAGCACUUUUGUCCGGAAAGAAAUCCUUGGCUCUAAUACAGUCGGGGGAUGACGGUACCGGAAGAAUAAGCACCGGCUAACUACGUGCCAGCAGCCGCGGUAAUACGUAGGGUGCAAGCGUUAAUCGGAAUUACUGGGCGUAAAGCGUGCGCAGGCGGUUUGCUAAGACCGAUGUGAAAUCCCCGGGCUCAAACCUGGGGAACUGCAUUGGUGGCUGGCAGGUAGAGUAUGGCAGAGGGGGGUAGAAUUCCACGUGUAGCAGUGAAAUGCGUAGAGAUGUGGAGGAAUACCGAUGGCGAAGGCAGCCCCUGGGCCAAUACUGACGCUCAUGCACGAAAGCGUGGGGAGCAAACAGGAUUAGAUACCCU